rnacentral:rRNA from 1 species
CAGCAGCCGCGGUAAUACGUAGGGUGCAAGCGUUAAUCGGAAUUACUGGGCGUAAAGCGCAUGCAGGCGGUCUGUCAAGUCAGAUGUGAAAUCCCCGGGCUUAACCUGGGAACUGCAUUUGAAACUGGCAGGCUAGAGUCUUGGAGAGGUCAGUGGAAUUCCGAGUGUAGAGGUGAAAUUCGUAGAUAUUCGGAAGAACACCAGUGGCGAAGGCGACUGACUGGACAAGUAUUGACGCUGAGGUGCGAAAGCGUGGGGAGCAAACAGGAUUAGAGACCCCGGUAGUCCCUGUCUCUUAUAC